ACAAAAAAGAAAAAAGAAAAAAAAGUGAACAUUUAUUUGUUGGAAGAAAUACGUGGAUGUAACUAAAAUGAUGAUAAAGUUCAAAGGAGCAUGAUGAUUGCGGGGCUGUUGGGUAGCCGGCCAUGUGAUAAAAUGAUGCCAACAGUGUGGAGUGAAUAGAUUUUUCAAAUGGUUUAUACACACACUAUGGGACUGAUAGAGAGUGUGAAAGCCAAAGGAUCUAGAACAUAUUUAAAUAAUGCACGUAAUUAACGAGAUCUUGACUUCUGUAAUACGAUAUAUUCUAGUGCUGCGUUUACUUUUUGGAUUGCAGUGGGAAUCUUUGGAUUAGGAGUGUGGAGUGGGAGUAGGGUGUUUACUUAGACUAAAUGAAAGUAUGAAUUAUCAAUCAGAAUCCUAAUUAUUUGUUUACUUUGUCUUGGAUUGGGAAUAAAUUAUUUUAAAUUACAAUUUUAUCCUUAUGUAAAGAAUUAUAAUUUGUAAUUAAAAAAUUAAUAAAAAAUAUAUUUGGAAAAUAAAAUAAAUAUUUUAUUAUAUUUAUAAAUUAAUAAUAAUUACUAAUAUUCUUAAUUAUGUAAAUCAUAAUUUUUUAUUAAUUUUAAUUUAAAUUAUGUGAAUAAAAAUUAUUAAUAAUAGCAACACAAAUGAAAUAUUAUUAUUGAUAAUAUAGUACAAAAUUAAUUUUUUAGAAUAAAAUAUUUAUUAUUAUUAAUUAAAUAAAUAAUUAAUAUUUAUUAAAAUUAAUGUUUAAUAUUAUUAAUUUAAAUAUAAUAUUUAUUUAUUUUUAUUUUAUUAAAUUUAAUAAAAUAAAUAUGUUAUAAUUAUUAUUUUUAAUAAAUAUGAUAUUAUUUAUUUUAUUAAAUAUUAUUUAUUUAAUUUAAUUAUGAGGGUAAAAUGGGAAGAGGGGGGAGUGGAUUAUCACUCCCACCUCCCCUCAUGGGAGUGGGAAUCCCACUCUCCACUCCAAAAUUAGGUGGGAUCCACGGAGUGAGAAUCUCACUCCUCCCUCUUUUAAGGUAAGUAAACACUGGAGUGGAAGGAAUCCACACUCUACACUCCCACUCUAAAAAGUAAACACUGCCUAGUUCUAUUCCCACCCAUAAAUGAAAAAAAUGAAAAAAAAAAAAAAAGGAACAUUUGAAAUUGAAUCCAGAAGGAGAUGAGGUUGGAAUCAGUGCCCUCAAUUGGGCGAGUGGAGGCCGUGGCCCGUGGGUGAUAAAUUUACGGCCCACCAAUUAACUUUAGCGAGCUAUAUUUCCUGUGGUCAAAAAAACAACACAUUAUUCAAACUAUUCUAUUCUUUUGUCUAAUCUUAUUCAAACUAUUCUAUUCUUUUGUCUAAUCUUAUAUGAAAAAUGAGUAUUUUAAUGUGCACCACAAAGCUAAAACAAAAUCGCCUCUAGAAAGCACCUUUCUACUUAAUGCCAGUCGCAGAACACAUUUCUCU
rnacentral:lncRNA from 1 species